AUGUUUCAUUCAGUGCUAUGUCCACCUGCUUUGCAUGGGCAGACUUGUGCCAAACAGGACAGGCAUACUCUGCAGUUGAGAAAGACAAGGCCAGGGCUGAUGUUCUUAUUACUUGUGGGUCUGCACCCCAUGAGCUGCCAGUCAGUUUCUGCAGGAUGUUAUUGCGUGCAGCUACUUUGUGCUUGGUGUUCAUGCAGUGUUUCCUAUAUGUUAGUGUUCGGUCUAAGGAAACACUGCAUGAACACCAAGCACAAAGUAGCUGCACGCAAUAACAUCCUGCGGAAACUGACUGGCAGCGCAUGGGGAGCAGACCCACAAGUAAUAAGAACAUCAGCCCUGGCCUUGUCUUUCUCAACUGCAGAGUAUGCCUGUCCUGUUUGGCACAAGUCUGCCCAUGCAAAGCAGGUGGACAUAGCACUGAAUGAAACAUGCAGAAUCAUCACGGGAUGCCUUAAACCUACACCUGUUGAUAAACUCUACAAGUUAGCUGGCAUUGCCCCUCCUGACGUGCGACGGGAAGUUGCUGCUAACGGUGAGAGAAAAAAGGUCGAACAUUGUGAAAGCCACCCACUGCAUGGCUAUCACCCUCCUCCCACCAGACUCAAAUCAAGGAAGGGCUUCAUGAGAACCACCACUCCUCUUGAUGUUCCUCCAGCAACAGCAAGGGCGUCUCUCUGGGCAGCUAAACCUGGCAAUUCUAACUGGAUGGCCCCCCAUGAGGGUCUUCCUCCAGGGGCAAACCAAGAAUGGGCAACUUGGAAGUCCCUGAACAGACUCAGAAGUGGAGUGGGCAGAUCAAAAGACAACUUGGCAAGGUGGCACUACCUGGAGGAAUCCUCCACCUUGUGUGACUGUGGAGCUGAACAAACAACUCAGCAUAUGUAUGCUUGCCCACAAUGCCCUGCCUCAUGUACGGAGGAGGAGUUGUUUAAAGCUACAGACAAUGCGGUUGCUGUUGCCCGCUUUUGGUCCAAAACUAUUUAGUUGCUUGUGAUUUCUUUUUUUUUCUAUUUUAUUUCCAUUAUUUGAAAUGUAUUUGCUGUACCAAUGCCUUUGACACGAAAUAAAUAAAUUGCUCUCCUCCCAAGAAGUAAACAUCUUCUGAUUUCUUGGCUGCAGUAGGCAUCUGCAGUAAUCUUUGCACUUAGAAAUAUAAAAUCUGUCACUGCCUUCAUGUUUUUCCCCUCUAUUUGCCAGUUAUCAAUCAGUCUGGUUGCCAUAAUCUUGGUUUUCUUGAUGUUUAACCACAGCCCGGCUUUUGCACUUUCUUCUUUCACCUUGGUGAUAAGGCUUCUCAGCUCCUCCUUGCUUUCAGCCAUCAAAGUGGUAUCAUCUGCAUAUAUGAGGUUGUUAAUAUUUCUUCCAGCUAUUUUAACUCCAGCCUUGGAUUCAUCAAGCCCCACAUAUCGCAUGAUGUGUUCUGCACACAAGUUGAAUAGGUAGGGUGAGAGUAUACAGUCCUGCCGUACUCCUUUCCUAAUCUUGAACCAGUCUGUUGUUCUGUGAUCUGUUCUUACUGUUGCUACUUGGUUGUUAUACAGAUUUCUCAACCAGUAGCAGAUGGCAAUUAUUAAAUGGAGUGUGCUCAGUGGCUACCCAUUGGGGUGAUAAAUCAGUACUGAAAUUUAAAUGAGCUAUCCAAGGUGCCAAAGUCUAACUUCAAAAUGGACACUUCUCUUAAAAGUACAGACUGCUCUUGCAAACCUGGGACCUUUUUUCAUUGAGGGCACUUUCAGACAGCAUAAAAUAUGUGUUUUAAAUGGAGGACAAAAAACCGCUCAAAAUAGGGACCUAAAAACUGGCACCUUUCUCAAAUACCCUUGAAUUAUUCCCCUGAAAUCACCAUCCUAAUAAGUAUUUCUUGCUAUAAGUCACUUCUAGCUUACAGAAAACCUAUGUGGCAGGGAGAGUUUUUGGCAAGAUUUAGUCAGAAGAUUUAUUGCCUCUCCCUGGGUGGGUAGGUUUCCAUUGCUGAGUAGAAAUUUGAAACCCAGAAUCCUAGUUCAACAUUCAAACUACUGCACCACACUUGCCACCUGCAGCUUUUACCCUCCUGAGAAUUUAAAGCCUGCACCUGAUGGGUGUGUCUUAUGCUUUUAACCUUGUUGAAAUAGGCCCAUCUAGUAACUUUAGACAUGUGGGAUAUUUUUGCUUUUCUUUCAUGUGGGAAAGGAGACAAACACUCUGUUUCUCCUCCUUGUAUGUGCUGACAAAUCCAAAGUGUACUGGCAAUUGUAAAGACUGAAUAGCUAUCCAAUUAGUAUGCUGAUCAGGGAUAAGAUGUUGAUACACAUUAUAGAGAGGGAUUUAACAAAAGUUCAAAUAAUGGUCUUUCUGUUUUUUUUUUUAAAAGAACAACAACAACCUUAAAGCAGUUGAAAUUCACUUGUGCAAAUGCUUGCUUCCCCAAAGGAAUCUUCCCUGUAGUUGCUGACAAACUUUGGCUAACAUUGCAGCUUACUUACCAUUUUCUGCCAAUGCAGCAACAUAUUGCAGAUAAAACCUAAUGAGCUGAAUUUAACAACAACAACAACAAAAAUGCCAUGUGGCUUUCUUAUAGUGAUGCCCAUCUGUUGGCUUCAGCAGUAUGUGCUGCUACAUCUGUACUCUUCUCCCUCUCAACCUCCCUUGCUUUUGAUUAAAUCAGAAACAAAGCUCUGCCCACCAGAGACAGGUAUGGUGAACAGGCCAGGGGAUUGUCUGACAUGAGUAUCAUACAGCUCUUUGCAGAGCUCCAUUACCAAAUAGCUUUUAACAGUCGGUGAAAAUCUUCCCCAUCUCUGCUUUCUUUUUUGGCAAGGAGCUAGAAGGACAGGAUCCAAAAAGCCCGCUGCCCAAAACAAGAGCUGUUUAAACUGAACUGGGCAUAUGAUUGCAGCCACCAGACAAAACUUUAAGAAACCGUAAAGCCGCUUUCAUUUGGGGAGAAGGAAAUGCCAGUUUAGACCAGGGCUUGUUGCAACAAAAGGGGGGCACAUAUUCUGUCCCUUCCGCAGUCCUUCCCCUC
rnacentral:lncRNA from 1 species